rnacentral:rRNA from 1 species
GACGAACCGUGCGAACGUUGUUCGGAAUCAUUGGGCGUAAAGGGCGCGUAGGUGGUUCUGUAUGUCUACCGUGAAAGCGUACGGCUCAACUGUAUUUUGUCGGUAGAAACUGCAGGACUUGAGGCUGGGAGGGGCUGGUGGAAUUCCCUGUGUAGCGGUGAAAUGCGUAGAGAUGGGGGAGAACACUCGUGGCGAAGGCGGCCAGCUAGACCAGUUCUGACACUGAGGCGCGACAGCGUGGGGAGCAAACAGG